UAGCKGAGGAAAAGAAACUAACAAGGAUUCCCCUAGUAACGGCGAGUGAAGAGGGAAGAGCCCAAGAUUGAAAGCUGGCGUCUUCGGCGUCCGCAUUGUAAUCUCAAGAAGUGUUUUCCGCUUCGGACCAUGCCUAAGUCCCUUGGAAAAGGGUAUCAUAGAGGGUGAUAAUCCCGUACAUGGCAUGGAGCGCCCGAAGCUUUGUGAUACGCUUUCUACGAGUCGAGUUGUUUGGGAAUGCAGCUCAAAAUGGGUGGUAAAUGCCAUCUAAGGCUAAAUAUUGGGGAGAGACCGAUAGCGAACAAGUACAGUGAUGGAAAGAUGAAAAGAACUUUGAAAAGAGAGUUAAACAGUACGUGAAAUUGCCAAAAGGGAAGGGUAGGAGGUCAGAGAUGCGUCUUGGGAUUCAGCCUUGCUUUUGCAUGGUGUUUUUCCCAAGCUGCAGGCCAACGUCGGUUUUGGGCACUGGAGAAGGGUAGGAGGAACGUGGCACCUCUCGGGGUGUGUUAUAGCCUCCUACUGGAUACAGCGACCGAGRCCGAGGAACGCAGCGUACUCGUAAGAGCGGGCCUUUUGGCACCUUUACGCUUAGGGCGUUGGCAUAAUGGCCCUCUACCACCCGUCUUGAACC
rnacentral:rRNA from 1 species